rnacentral:rRNA from 1 species
AGGCUCCUACGGGGCGCAGCAGUGAGGAAUAUUGGACAAUGGGCGGAAGCCUGAACCAGCCAAGUCGCGUGAGGGAAUAAGGCCCUACGGGUCGUAAACCUUUUUUGCCGGGGAGCAAGGGCCGGGACGAGUCCCGGUCCGGAGAGUACCCGGAGAAAAAGCAUCGGCUAACUCCGUGCCAGCAGUCGCGGUAAUACGGAGGAUGCGAUCGUUAUCCGGAUUUAUUGGGUUUAAAGGGUGCGUA